GAAGCGCAAUGGAUAGCGCGUUGGACUUUAAAUCCAAAGGUUAUAGGUUCAAAUCCCACGUGCAAUG